rnacentral:rRNA from 1 species
ACACAUGCAAGCCGAGCGGUAUGAUUCUUUCGGGAAUCAGAGAGCGGCGUACGGGUGCCCAACACGUGUGCAACCUGCCUUUAUCUGGGGGAUAGCCUUUCGAAAGGAAGAUUAAUACCCCAUAAUAUAUUGAGUGGCAUCACUUAAUAUUGAAAACUCCGGUGGAUAGAGAUGGGCACGCGCAAGAUUAGAUAGUUGGUGGGGUAACGGCCUACCAAGUCGAUGAUCUUUAGGGGGCCUGAGAGGGUGAUCCCCCACACUGGUACUGAGACACGGACCAGACUCCUACGGGAGGCAGCAGUGAGGAAUAUUGGACAAUGGGUGCAAGCCUGAUCCAGCCAUCCCGCGUGAAGGACGACGGCCCUAUGGGUUGUAAACUUCUUUUGUACAGGGAUAAACCUAGAUACGUGUAUCUAGCUGAAGGUACUGUACGAAUAAGCACCGGCUAACUCCGUGCCAGCAGCCGCGGUAAUACGGAGGGUGCAAGCGUUAUCCGGAUUUAUUGGGUUUAAAGGGUCCGUAGGCGGAUCAGUAAGUCAGUGGUGAAAUCUCAUAGCUUAACUAUGAAACUGCCAUUGAUACUGCUGGUCUUGAGUAAGGUAGAAGUAGCUGGAAUAAGUAGUGUAGCGGUGAAAUGCAUAGAUAUUACUUAGAACACCAAUUGCGAAGGCAGGUUACUAUGUCUUAACUGACGCUGAUGGACGAAAGCGUGGGGAGCGAACAGGAUUAGAUACCCUGGUAGUCCACGCUGUAAACGAUGCUAACUCGUUUUUGGGUUUUCGGAUUCAGAGACUAAGCGAAAGUGAUAAGUUAGCCACCUGGGGGAGUACGAACGCAAGUUUGAAACUCAAAGGAAUUGACGGGGGCCCGCACAAGCGGUGGAUUAUGUGGUUUAAUUCGAUGAUACGCGAGGAACCUUACCAAGGCUUAAAUGGGAAUUGAUCGGUUUAGAAAUAGACCUUCCUUCGGGCAAUUUUCAAGGUGCUGCAUGGUUGUCGUCAGCUCGUGCCGUGAGGUGUUAGGUUAAGUCCUGCAACGAGCGCAACCCCUGUCACUAGUUGCCAUCAUUAAGUUGGGGACUCUAGUGAGACUGCCUACGCAAGUAGAGAGGAAGGUGGGGAUGACGUCAAAUCAUCACGGCCCUUACGCCUUGGGCCACACACGUAAUACAAUGGCCGGUACAGAGGGCAGCUACACAGCGAUGUGAUGCAAAUCUCGAAAGCCGGUCUCAGUUCGGAUUGGAGUCUGCAACUCGACUCUAUGAAGCUGGAAUCGCUAGUAAUCGCGCAUCAGCCAUGGCGCGGUGAAUACGUUCCCGGGCCUUGUACACACCGCCCGUCAAGCCAUGGAAGUCUGGGGUACCUGAAGUCGGUGACCGUAAAAGGAGCUGCCUAGGGUAAGAC